AACGAACGCUGGCGGCAGGCCUAACACAUGCAAGUCGAACGCUGUAGCAAUACAGAGUGGCAGACGGGCGAGUAACGCGUGGGAGCCUUCCCAGUGGUGCGGAAUAGCUCAGGGAAACUUGAGGUAAUACCGCAUAAGCCCCUAGGGGAAAGAUUUAUCGCCAUUGGAUGGGCCCGCGUCGGAUUAGCUAGUUGGUGAGGUAAUGGCUCACCAAGGCAACGAUCCGAGCUGGUUUGAGAGAAUGACCAGCCACACUGGGACUGAGACACGGCCCAGACUCCUACGGGAGGCAGCAGUGGGGAAUCUUGCGCAAUGGGCGAAAGCCUGACGCAGCGACGCCGCGUGAGGGAUGACGGCCU
rnacentral:rRNA from 1 species